UUCAAAAUUCAAAAUAAUUUCAAAAAAAAUUGAAAAAUUCCAAAUUUGAGAAUAUUUUGUAGAAAAGUUGUAGUUAUUGGUCAGUUUUGAUUUGAAAAUUUAUUCAUAUUUGACACAAGGCUUCGUAUUAAUGCUUCGACCACAACGACUAACGUUUGAUUUGACAACAGAUUCAAAGAUGAUAUGACAGAAAGCAGUGUUCUGAAAGCAUUCACACUCCUGUAUUUGGAAAACCAACCAUAUUUGGAUAAAAAUCUGCACAACAAAAUAAAUCCUACUCAUUAUUGGUAUUUUUCCAGACUAUAUUUGUGAAACAUUUACCAGUAAAAACCAUAUCUCAGAAUGGACUUCUAAUGAAGCACAACUGUAUUAUUCCGAAACAUCGAUUCCUUUGGAAAACGAAUGUGUUUCGAAUUGUAUCAUAGCAUCGAAUCUCAUCGACAGCCGAACUAACUAAUAUGUUGAAAGAAUUAAUUCAAACGUUGAUCGAAUAUUCGAUGACCAGUUUUCUUAGAAUCAAUUCUAUUCGACUUGGAAUGCUGGAAUGAUAUUGAUUUACCAUCGACUGAGUCUAUGUCUUAGCGAAUGGGAGUACGAGCAUCUCCUUUCGAGUUGACUGAUUUGGAAAGUAAGAUGGAUACGAAUUUCGAUAUCGAAUUUGGAUUCAGAAUUAAGCUUCGAGUUGACCGCGGUGUUCAUGCUGCGUAGGAUAUUGACAUAGAUACACGUUCCGAUUCUGUGCAUUCCAAAGAAAUGAAAUACCCCUGUUCGGUUUGUGGCAGUCCUGCUUUACACCGAACCAGUUUUAAAAGAGCAUUACGAAAUACAUUCAGAUUUUAUUUUAGUACUCAUCUGUGCCAAACUUGUGCAAUGAUUGUCUCCGAAAAGGUCAAUUUUCUGCUGCAUUAAAGCGUUCGCCAUUAAUGAAGAAAGGAACGUAAUUACAAUUGCACUGAAUGGGAUAAACGGUUUUACCACCGGGAUUCAAUGAAAGAGCAUAUGGACAGGAACACCUAUGAUGAUUAUCUACCCAGCUCAUGGUUUCAAAAUAUGUGGCCUGGCAAAUUCACAAAAAUCAAGGUUGAAGACAGAAGAGAAAGCUCACAAAAAAAAUCAAAAAAUCGAUCAGCUCAGAACAGUGCCAGAAAACAUUCCACUGCAAACAAUCGUUGAAAUUUCAUCUAAAAACUCACGAGGGGUCGUUCAGGGAUAAAUUAUGGCGUGUGAAUGAUUACCUGGAUGAUGAGGAAUCCGGAAUAUUCCAGUAAUUGGAACCAAGGUCAUCAAAAGGAUGCAGACAGAUAUCAAAGUACAAUCGGAAAAUUUCGAGUUUUUCAAUAUUUAUUCGGAUUCUACGAGCUAUUUCGGAUACAAAAGUGCUGAGCUAUGGUUUUUCUCGUGAAAAAUAUCCAAUUGGACGACAAUCCUAGGAAUAUAAGGAUCAUAAUAAUUGGCUCACCCUUCCUGAGAUGAUGAAUAUAUUUGCAGCACAUUUCACACUGUGUACGUAUACUAUACGGAAGAAUCGAAUGAUCGUCGUUAACCUUCCUCGAAACGAAAGUGAAUUGGAUACCGAGAAACAAUCAUCCUGAUUACUCAUAAUAAUUUGAUGCCCGAUUUUGCCGCAUCUGCAUUCAAGUUUUCCAAAUUCUCUUCAAAUAAAUCCGAAGAGAAAUGAGUGAACUGAAAAAUAGUUUUCAAAUUGUGGAAAUAAAUUAAGAAAAAUAAUUAUUCACGUGCAUUGUAAGUUGAAAUAUGUAAGUAU